CACGUAGGGGGCAAGCGUUGUCCGGAAUCAUUGGGCGUAAAGAGCUCGUAGGCGGCUCAGUAAGUCGGGUGUGAAACCUCCAGGCUCAACCUGGAGACGCCACCCGAUACUGCUGUGGCUAGAGUCCAGUAGGGGAGUGUGGAAUUCCCGGUGUAGCGGUGAAAUGCGCAGAUAUCGGGAGGAACACCAGCGGCGAAGGCGGCUCUCUGGUACGUGACUGACGCUGAGACGCGAAAGCGUGGGGAGCAAGCAGG
rnacentral:rRNA from 1 species